rnacentral:rRNA from 1 species
AUCGGAAGGAAAAACAAUGGCGAAGGCAGCCACCUGGCUUAAUACUGACGCUGAGGCGCGGAGGAAAGGGGAUCGAGCAGGAUUAGAUACCCUGGUAGUCCACGCUGUGAGCGAUGAGAACUAGAUGUUGAUUGGCUUAUGUCAAGCAGUAUCGAAGCUAACGCGAUAAGUUCUCCGCCUGGGUCUCAAUACAGCCGCAAGGCUGGAGCUCGAGGGAAUUGACGGGGGCCCGCACAAGCGGUGGAGCAUGUGGUUUAAUUCGAUGCAACGCGAAGAACCUUACCUACCCUUGACAUCCUGCGAAUGACAGUGAGAGCUGUUAGUGCCGGAGGGAGCGCAGAGACAGGUGCUGCAUGGCUGUAAACAGCUAUCUCAAUUGUGAGAUGUUGGGUUUCUCAAUCCAAAAACGAGCGCAACCCUUGUCCUUAGUUGCCAUCAUUCAGUUGGGGACUCUAAGGAGACCGCCGGUGAUGAACCGGAGGAAGGCGGGGACGAAAACUCUCAAUCAUCAUGGCCUUUAUGGGUAGGGCCACACAAAAGCUACAAUGGGGAAAACAGAGGGUAGCCAACCAGCGAUGGGGAGCCAAUCUCAGGAGGAAACUAAUCUCAAUCCGGAUUGGAGUCUGCAACUCGACUCCAUGUCUCAAUCGGAAUCGCUAGUAAUCGCGAAUCAGCAGUGUCGCGGUGAAUAAAAUCCCGGGCCUUGUACACACCGCCAAACAAAACAUGGUCUCAAUGGAUGGUACCAGAAGCGGGUAGUUGAACCGGAGGGGAGACGC